rnacentral:rRNA from 1 species
AUUGAACGCUGGCGGCAUGCCUUACACAUGCAAGUCGAACGGUAACGCGGGGCAACCUGGCGACGAGUGGCGAACGGGUGAGUAAAGCAUCGGAACGUGCCCAGUAGUGGGGGAUAGCCCGGCGAAAGCCGGAUUAAUACCGCAUACGACCUACGGGUGAAAGGGGGGGAUCGCAAGACCUCUCGCUAUUGGAGCGGCCGAUGUCAGAUUAGGUAGUUGGUGGGGUAAAGGCCUACCAAGCCGACGAUCUUUAGAUGGGCUGAGAGGACGACCGGGCACGCUUGGAUGGAGACCGGGCCCUGAUUCCUAAGGGAAGCAGCGGUGUGGAAUGUUGGACAAUGGGCGCAAGCCUGAUCCAGCCAUGCCGCGUGCGGGAAGAAGGCCUUCGGGUUGUAAACCGCUUUUGUCAGGGAAGAAAUCUUCUGGGUUAAUACCUGGGGUCGAUGACGGUACCGGAAGAAUAAGGACCGGCUAACUACGUGCCAGCCGCCGCCGUGACAC